GCAGUCGUGGUCUAAUGGUUAGAGAGUCAGACUUGCAACCUGAAGGUCAUAGGUUCAAGUCUCAGGUCCAGCA